AUAUAGAGGAGAAACUGAGGUACUAAACUCUGAAACAGUAAUUUAGUUCCACCAACACCUUCCAGAGACCGCUCUCAUCGCUGAUUUUCUGUUUACCUCGAGAAAUAUUUACUUAACCUCUAAAAUUUUCAGUUGAUCCGUCGAACCUUAUUUUUGGUAAGAGAUUUAUUAUGUCGCAGUCAACUUUGAAAUCCAACAAAUAUUGUGUUCCUAACUGUGGAGAUAUGUAUAGUAAACGUCAUCGUUUUCGAAUGAAGAGAAGCAGCCAACAAUUUUCAAACUUUGGCUCGAAAAAGUUAGUUAUCCAUUGCUCAACUCUAAAACUCCUCAACAAAUUUGUAAGAAGUGAAAUUAGAUAACCUUAAAGGAAUUUGGCAACUGCUAUCCCUGAAUUAUUUUUUCCUGGAUCUUCAAAUCAAGGGGAAGAUGGAGAAGUUCAUGACACUGAAGGAAUACAUCUCCAAAGUGAUGUUGAGAGGGAAGUAUCAACAGAGACUUUGAAGAAUUUUAAGCACCCUCAGAAAACUUCAAUAAUAUAUAGAAAAAGAUAUCGAGGACAACAAUUAAUUGACAAUAGAGGCUGUGGGCACUGCAGAGCUGAUCAUUUUUAUGGAUAAGCUGUUUGAUAGCCUGAAUAUGCAAUUGUGAAGGACACAUUAAAAUUUUUGGCAUACUAGAAAUAUUUAAAAAAAUGUAAAAUUUUAAAUAGAUGAUUUUUUUAUAUGAAUUUGUGUUUUCUCUGAACUUAAGCCUCUAUUCUUGUCAAAUAUAUUGGAUGUGAAAGAACUCGUACAGGAAUAUAAUGGUAAUAUAGCUCAUUCAAAAAGAAAUGCUUAUUACCUUAUUUUCGUACGUUGUUUAUUUUCACAUUCAAAAUCUUGAAUUGAAUUGAAAUAUUUUCAAUACGAAGCAUUUCAAAUUUUCGCGCGCUCAUUUUAUAAUUUCACAAACAACCUCAUGAGGUCGCUGAAAGCAGUGUUAAUUUUAUCAUGAGAGUUUCCAUU